GGACAAGCCUCGUAAAUUCCGGCUGCCAAGAAGUUGACGUCGAGAGAGAAAUCAUUGCAACAGCCGGAGAAAUCAUCGCCAAGACAAGUUUUGGGAUAGGCUACGAAAAUGGGAGGCAAGUGUUCGAGAAAUUGAGGGCCAUGCAGUUCACUCUGUUCAAGAAUAACCGUUACGUGGGAGUGCCCUUCAGCAGAUUCCUGUGCCCUAAGCAAACCCUAGAGGCCAAAAAUCUUGGACAAGAAAUCGAUGACCUUCUUAUGACGAUUAUAAGAGAUCGUAGAAAUUCCAAUGGAGGGUAUUCUCAGAAGGACUUAUUAGGGUUAUUGCUGGAGGAGAAUCAUGAGGAGGGGCGGCUAGGGAAGACCUUGACAACGAGGGAACUAGUCGAUGAGUGCAAGACUUUCUUCUUUGGUGGCCAUGAGACCACUGCACUGGCACUGUCAUGGACAUUGCUGCUUUUGGCGGUACAUCCAGAGUGGCAAGAUCAAUUAAGAGAGGAAAUUAGACAAGUUACUGGGGAUAAAGAGAUCGAUUUCUCCACGCUUGCUGGGCUUAAGAAGAUGGGAUGGGUGAUGAACGAAGUUUUGAGGCUCUACUCCCCAGCACCUAAUGUUCAAAGGCAAACCAGAGAAGAUAUUACUGUAAAUAACCUCACCAUCCCCAAGGGAACCAACGUCUGGAUUGAUGUUGUAGGCAUGCACCAUGACCCUGGUCUUUGGGGAAAAGAUGUCUACGAAUUUAAACCUGAAAGGUUCGAUAAUGACUUGUAUGGUGGAUGCAACCACAAGAUGGGGUAUUUACCUUUUGGGUUUGGAGGGAGAAUGUGUGUAGGUAGGCACUUGACCACGAUGGAGUAUAAGGUUGUUCUGUCCUUAAUUCUGACCAGGUUUUCCUUCUCACUGUCCCCAAAUUAUUCUCAUUCUCCUUCUAUUAUGCUCUCCCUGAGACCAAAUUUUGGGCUGCCUCUCAUUGUUCA
rnacentral:misc_RNA from 1 species